GACGAACGCUGGCGGCGUGCUUAACACAUGCAAGUCGAGCGAUGAAGUUCCUUCGGGAACGGAUUAGCGGCGGACGGGUGAGUAACACGUGGGUAACCUGCCUCAUAGAGGGGAAUAGCCUUCCGAAAGGAAGAUUAAUACCGCAUAAGAUUGUAGUACCGCAUGGUAUAGCAAUUAAAGGAGUAAUCCGCUAUGAGAUGGACCCGCGUCGCAUUAGCUAGUUGGUGAGGUAACGGCUCACCAAGGCGACGAUGCGUAGCCGACCUGAGAGGGUGAUCGGCCACAUUGGGACUGAGACACGGCCCAGACUCCUACGGGAGGCAGCAGUGGGGAAUAUUGCACAAUGGGGGAAACCCUGAUGCAGCAACGCCGCGUGAGUGAUGACGGUCUUCGGAUUGUAAAGCUCUGUCUUCAGGGACGAUAAUGACGGUACCUGAGGGGGAAGCCACGGCUAACUACGUGCCAGCCGCCGCAGUAA
rnacentral:rRNA from 1 species